GCAGCCCGACGUGGCGGCGGCGGGAGGUGGGUGAGGCGCCCCGGCCCGCGGGCCAAGAGCGCGGUGCGGCUGCCGGGCCGGGCGCUCCCGCCCCGCCUUCCCCCCCCCGUCCGGCGCCGCAGCUCGGGGGAGGCGGGUGUCGCCGAGGCGGCAGGGGCGGGGCGGGGGCGGGCGGCCGCGGCGAGCCGCCGCCUCGCUGGAGCCGGAGCGCCCCGAGGCCUGCGGGGGGCCUCAGCCUUGCGGGGGGCGCGGGGCGGGCCCGGCGGCGGCUGGCGGGGAGGAGCGGCGCUCCGAGGGGCGCGGGGGAGCGGAGGAGGGCCGAGCCCGGCCGGAGCCGGGGCAGCGCCGGGCUCCCCGAGAGCCGCCCCGCAGCCCGCCGGUGACGCGCUCGGGUGGCAUUUGGAGCUCUGCUGUGUCACAUACUGUGCUAAGCCCUGUAAAUAGAAGAUCUCUGAUGACAGAAAGCGUACCUAGUUAUAAAUACCUAGGUUGCGGGCAACAGGGGCUCCCUGGGCCGAGCAGCCAGAAAGUGCUCCAUCUGAUUAAACGCUCUAUAUUUAGAUGAUGACCAAACUAAACCGUCCAGUUGACUGGGACACUAAAACCAUAUAAACCUGUCGCAAAACUUACUAAUUGCUUGUAAAGAAAAGGAACGGGGUAGGCAAUUUUAACAGAGCCCUCCAUAACAUCAGUACACCUACGAAGUUAAGACAUUGGAACUAUACUAACCCUGGAACGCAGUUUAUUGCUAGUGAGAAGAAUUCAAAGCUAACUUCACACGAGUAACUCCUUCAGGUACAGCACGAGCCACAACCUUUCAAACUGUCUGAAUGCUUUCAGUGACUGUAGUUACUCAGUCUUGGCAAGCUCAAAAGUUAGUUAAUAUGACACUACCGGGUAUGGGAAGUUUACCCCAACGGACAAAAUAAAAGUGCUUACAACAGCUUCUGGGAAAUCUCCUAGAGGGGAUUCUGAGCUGCAAAUAACAAAAAGACCUGCUCAAAGAGAAGUGCCUGCUUUUACUUUGGAGAAGUAUUUUGCAUUAGCCCCACACAGGCACAUUUGGGCAAAGGGCACCUAAACGCACAUGAAAUACUUCUGUUCAGAAAAGUUGGGUUUACAAAUCUUCAGUGAAAACCCCACAACAAUGCUGCUAAGGAAAACUCAGUAUUUGGAAGACUUUACGACGCUACAACCACCUGCUUCAUCCCAUCCUGCUCUGCUUCAAACAGUAUUAGCACUGCCCGUCACCCUCUGUAACCCUUGCCCCUGUGACUACUCAGAUUGUUCUGCUACACUGAAAGACACAGUGCAGGGUUUUUUUCCAACACAAAGCAUGCAAGAACAAAGGUGAAAUAUUGACAACAGCAAGCUUUUCAAGAUUCUGUUCAUUUUAUGUGAGAAACUUCAUCCAUUCCCCAACAACAGCAAGUCUUUCUUCUUUUGUAGAACUUAAGGUUCUCGUGUUAACUGGAGGACUGAAGGGGAAAACAUUCAUCUGCAGAUGGGCUCUCAAGCAACAUGGUCAGGACCGAGUUAUUCUGGAAAGCUGAAUUUUAUUCUAAUACUUAAAAUGUGAAAGGAUCUUUUACUGAUCGUACAAGUCAUCUUACGGAGUCCGUUCUCCAUAUUUUUAAUUUAAGAGCAACAGAGGAUUGCAUAUUCUAGCAUUCAAAAAAAUGUAUUAGUGUAGAUCUUCAACAUAACUCAAAAUAUAAAGCUACAUUUGUUAGCUGAUUAGUA